UGGGUAACCUGCCUUAUAGUGGGGGAUAGCCUUUCGAAAGGAAGAUUAAUACCGCAUAAGAUUGUAGUAUCGCAUGAUAUAGCAAUUAAAGGAGCAGUUCGCUAUAAGAUGGACCCGCGUCGCAUUAGCUAGUUGGUGAGGUAAUGGCUCACCAAGGCGACGAUGCGUAGCCGACCUGAGAGGGUGAUCGGCCACAUUGGGACUGAGACACGGCCCAGACUCCUACGGGAGGCAGCAUG
rnacentral:rRNA from 1 species